GGGCCCGCACAAGCGGUGGAGCAUGUGGUUUAAUUCGAUGCAACGCGAAGAACCUUACCUGGUCUUGACAUACACAGAAUCUUGUAGAGAUACGAGAGUGCCUUCGGGAAUUGUGAUACAGGUGCUGCAUGGCUGUCGUCAGCUCGUGUCGUGAGAUGUUGGGUUAAGUCCCGCAACGAGCGCAACCCUUGUCCUUAGUUGCCAGCAGUUCGGCUGGGCACUCUAGAGAAACUGCCUGGGAUGACCAGGAGGAAGGCGAGGAUGACGUCAAGUCCUCAUGGCCCUUAUGGGCUGGGCUACACACGUGCUACAAUGGCGGUUACAAUGGGAAGCAAUAGGGUGACCUGGAGCUAAUCCCAAAAGCCGUCUCAGUUCGGAUUGUUCUCUGCAACUCGAGAACAUGAAGUCGGAAUCGCUAGUAAUCG
rnacentral:rRNA from 1 species